UACGAAGGGUGCAAGCGUUAGUCGGAAUUACUGGGCGUAAAGCGUGCGUAGGUGGUUUCUUAAGUCCGUUGUGAAAGCCCUGGGCUCAACCUGGGAACGGCAGUGGAUACUGAGAGGCUAGAGUGUGUCAGAGGAUGGUGGAAUUCCCGGUGUAGCGGUGAAAUGCGUAGAGAUCGGGAGGAACAUCAGUGGCGAAGGCGGCCAUCUGGGACAACACUGACGCUGAGGCACGAAAGCGUGGGGAGCAAACAGG
rnacentral:rRNA from 1 species